rnacentral:rRNA from 1 species
GACGAACGCUGGCGGCGUGCUUAACACAUGCAAGUCGAACGGUAAGGCCCUUCGGGGUACACGAGUGGCGAACGGGUGAGUAACACGUGGGUGAUCUGCCCUGCACUUCGGGAUAAGCCUGGGAAACUGGGUCUAAUACCGGAUAGGACCACUGCCUGCAUGGUGGUGGUGGAAAGCUUUUGCGGUGUGGGAUGGGCCCGCGGCCUAUCAGCUUGUAGGUGGGGUGAUGGCCUACCAAGGCGACGACGGGUAGCCGGCCUGAGAGGGUGACCGGGCACACUGGGACUGAGAUACGGCCCAGACUCCUACGGGAGGCAGCAGUGGGGAAUAGUGCACAAUGGGCGCAAGCCUGAUGCAGCGACGCCGCGUGAGGGAUGACGGCCUUCGGGUUGUAAACCUCUUUCAGCACCGACGAAGCGCAAGUGACGGUAGGUGCAGAAGAAGGACCGGCCAACUACGUGCCAGCCGCCGCGGUAA